rnacentral:siRNA from 1 species
AAUUAACAAGUGCGGUCGCAAUA